rnacentral:rRNA from 1 species
AAUCCAUGGGGUCCUCCAGGAUACGAGCCCCUCUCCCUAACCCUCUCCCCGCAGGCGGGGAGAGGGAAACGCCCGCCAAUGCGCGAUGGCAGUGCCGAUAAGCACCCUCCUGACUCCCUGCUAAGUCCGGAAGUCCUCACCCUGGCUGGAUCACCUCCUUAAGCCGAAUUCCAGCACACUGGCGGCCGUUACUAGUGGAUCCGAGCUCGGUACCAAGCUUGGCGUAAUCAUGGUCAUAGCUGUUUCCUGUGUGAAAUUGUUAUCCGCUA